UUACGUUGUUAUCCCUAAGGUAAUUUAAUCUUAUAAUCAAAAUAAAUGGAUCAAAAAUAUAUACAUAAAUAUAUAAAAACAAAGAGGAGUUAAAUAAUAUUCCUCCCAUCACCCCAACAAAACAAUUCACUCCCACUCAAUGUAAAUAAAUACAAACAACGAAUAAAUAGGAAAAUUGUCAAACUCUAUAGGGUCUUCUCGUCCCAUAAAAACAUUUAAGAAUUUUAACUCAAAAACCAAAUUCAAUAAACCAAUACCUCCAAGACAGCUUAUGUCUCGUCAAGCCAUUCAUACCAGAUCACAAUUAAAGAACUAAUGAUUAUGCUACCUUUGCACGGUCAAAAUACCGCGGCCCUUCAACUCUAAGUCAGUGGGCAGGCCAUACUUCAAAAACUAACAAGAAAAGAUGUUUUUGAUAAACAGGCG
rnacentral:rRNA from 1 species